rnacentral:rRNA from 1 species
UCCUACGGGAGGCAGCAGUGGGGAAUAUUGCACAAUGGGGGAAACCCUGAUGCAGCCAUGCCGCGUGUGUGAAGAAGGCCUUCGGGUUGUAAAGCACUUUCAGUUGUGAGGAAAAGUUAGUAGUCAAUACCUGCUAGCCGUGACGUUAACAACAGAAGAAGCACCGGCUAACUCCGUGCCAGCAGCCGCGGUAAUACGGAGGGUGCGAGCGUUAAUCGGAAUUACUGGGCGUAAAGCGCACGCAGGCGGUUUGUUAAGCUAGAUGUGAAAGCCCCGGGCUCAGCCUGGGAACGGCAUCCGGAACUGUCAAGCUAGAGUGCAGGAGAGGAAGGUAGAAUUCCCGGUGUAGCGGUGAAAUGCGUAGAGAUCGGGAGGAAUACCAGUGGCGAAGGCGGCCUUCUGGACUGACACUGACACUGAGGUGCGAAAGCGUGGGUAGCAAACAGGAUUAGAUACCCUGGUAGUCCACGCCGUAAACGAUGUCGACCAGCCGUUGGGUGCCUAGCGCACUUUGUGGCGAAGUUAACGCGAUAAGUCGACCGCCUGGGGAGUACGGCCGCAAGGUUAAAACUCAAAUGAAUUGACGGGGGCCCGCACAAGCGGUGGAGCAUGUGGUUUAAUUCGAUGCAACGCGAAGAACCUUACCUACACUUGACAUGCUGAGAAGUUAUUAGAGAUAGUUUCGUGCCUCGGGAACUCAGACACAGUGCUGCAUGCUGUCGUCAGCUCGUGUCGUGAGAUGUUGGGUUAAGUCCGCACGAGCGCAACCCCUGUCCUUAGUUGCCACCCUAGGUGGGAUCUCUACGACUGCCGUGACCACCGACAAGGUGGGACAGAUCAGUACUCGGCUUAGUGGAGUCAAGUCUACAUUGCGUAGC